rnacentral:rRNA from 1 species
UUUUUAACGCGGGUCGCUGGUCAGCGUGGGCCGCGUGGGCGCGACAAAGCCGGGGGUCGACACCCCGAGCCUCGCGUCCCCGCGGCCGAGGAGUCGCGGCGCGCGCCAUUUGGCGGGCUUCGGCACCUGCGCGCCUCGGACGCUGGCGCAACGCUCCCAUCCGGCCCGUCUUGAAACACGGACCAAGGAGUCUAACAUGCGUGCGAGCCGGUGGGCGGCAAACCCACGAGGCGCAAGGAAAGUGAGCGGUGGGAUCCGAAAGGUGCACCAUCGACCGACCAUGAUCUUCUGUGAAAGGUUCGAGUAGGAGCAUGCCUGUUGGGACCCGAAAGAUGGUGAACUAUGCCUGAGCAGGGCGAAGCCAGAGGAAACUCUGGUGGAGGCUCGUAGCGAUACUGACGUGCAAAUCGUUCGUCAGACUUGGGUAUAGGGGCGAAAGACUAAUCGAACCAUCUAGUAGCUGGUUCCCUCCGAAGUUUCCCUCAGGAUAGCUGGAGCUCGCGCAGUUUUAUCGGGUAAAGCGAAUGAUUAGUGGUUCCGGGGGUGUAACACCUUCGGCCAAUUCUCAAACUUUAAAUAGGUAAGGCGCCCGGGUUGCUUGGUUGAACCCGGGACGCGAAUGAGAGCUCCAAGUGGGCCAUUUUUGGUAAGCAGAACUGGCGAUGCGGGAUGAACCGAUAGCCUGGUUACGGUGCCGGAGUGCGCGCUAACCUAGAUCCCACAAAGGGUGUUGAUUGAUACAGACAGCAGGACGGUGGUCAUGGAAGUCGAAAUCCGCUAAGGAGUGUGUAACAACUCACCUGCCGAAUCAAUUAGCCCCGAAAAUGGAUGGCGCUCAAGCGCGCCACCUAUACCAGGCCAUCGGGGCGAGCGCGUUGCCCCGAUGAGUAGGAGGGCGUGGGGCCCGUGGCGCAGCCUGCGGCGCGAGCCGGGGUGAAACGGGCCCUAGUGCAGAUCUUGGUGGUAGUAGCAAAUAUUCAAAUGAGACCUUUGAAGACUGAAGUGGAGAAAGGUUCCGUGUGAACAGCAGUUGGACACGGGUUAGCCGACCCUAAGAGGACGGGGAACCCCUGUGCAAGGUCGGCUUGUCCGACCGCCCUCGAAAGGGAACCGGGUUAAGAUUCCCGGGCCGGGACGUGGGGGCGGGCGGUAACGCGUGCGAGCCCGGAGACGCUGGCGGGGGCUCCCGGAAGAGUUGUCUUUUCUUCUUGACGGUCCGAAGGCCCUGGAAUCGGUUCAGCCGGAGAUAGGGCCCAGCGGCCGGCAGAGCUCCGCACCUCUUGCGGAGUCGGGUGCGCCCCCGACAGCCCCUGAAAAUCCGGGGGAGCGGCUACCUGCCACGCCCGGUCGUACUCAUAACCGCAGCAGGUCUC